rnacentral:rRNA from 1 species
UACGGGGGGAGCAAGCGUUGUUCGGAUUUACUGGGCGUAAAGGGCGCGUAGGCGGCCACCGCAAGUCGACUGUGAAAUCUCCGGGCUUAACCCGGAAAGGUCAGCCGAUACUGCGGGGCUAGAGUGCAGAAGGGGCAACUGGAAUUCUCGGUGUAGCGGUGAAAUGCGUUGAUAUCCUAAGGAACACCGGUGGCGAAAGCGGCUCACUGGAUCUCUUCUGACGCUGAGGCACGAAAGCUAGGGUAGCAAACGGG